UACCCGCAGCACAAGUGGUGGUCAUUAUUAUUGGGCCUAAAGCGUCCGUAGCUGGCUUGUUAGAUGCCUGGGUAAAUCGAUGCGCUCAACGUAUCGAAUUCCGGGUAGACCGGCAAGCUCGAGACCGGGAGAGGUGUAGGCUACUCGAGGGGUAGGGGUAAAAUCCUGUAAUCCUUCGGGGAGGACCAGUGGCGAAGGCGCUACACUAGAGCGGCUCUGACAGUGAGGGACGAAGCCCUGGGGCGCAAACCGG
rnacentral:rRNA from 1 species